GUUCCAAUUUCAGGUUUUGUGAGGGCUGGGCUGUGAAAAAAUAUGAGUAUUUUUUUUGUAUUGUUUCAUUGAAAAUCUAUGUUUUGGACGGUGUUAGGAAGUGAUGUCAUUUCCCUCCGACUGACGUCUGUUCACGUCUCCUCCCUCAACUAAGAGCGCGCUCACAUUGCUAUUGUUCAAGAUGGCGGAUUGGGUGGACAAAACUCUUGAGCCAUGAGAAACCCAGGCAGACAGGCAGUGUGUCCUUGUCUUUCUGAGAAGCCCACAGUCCUGGCAGAAGGCUCUACCUGCCCUUCGACACGGUCCCAAAACGGCCCAAAACACGGUUACAUUUUACAAGACUGACAGCUGUUUGCAGACUGUAGUGAACAUGGUGAUUUGGAUAACCUCACAUGUUUUUAGAAAAAGCCAACAGAAACGCUGUGUUUUAAUUUUUACCCUUUUUUUAAAUUAGUGGUCCAUUACAUGAUAUGUCUUAAAAUGUAAAAGUUGUAUUUUCUAAUGCAUGCAAGGGGGCAUUUUUGCAAUGGAUAUUUUUGAUUGAUCCAGUUUUAAUGGAUGUCUGUCUGUCAGGAAGUGACUGAUGUGAACAUUUUUUUUCUUCUUGAUCUAAUUAAUGUUCCUAGAUCACUCUGUGACACACCCACACACAAUUUGACUCCUGUUUAACUUCCCUGACUUCUUUUGAUUGUAUGUUUGUACUGUCUGCUUCUGGGGCAACAAGAAACUGUUGAAGCAAUCUUUAAGUAGACAGGCAAGGGAUUUAGUCUAAAAAGGCCCUUAUCUACCUCUGCAAUGUUGUAUUGGUGUAAUCAUUCUUCAAGCAAAGGCAGGAACAACAAGACUUUCUACUUUAGUUACCUUAACUCUCGGGCCUUUUCGUGUCCAAUAUUACAUCAAACAUUCAGUGGCAUUAGUGAUAAUGUCUGCCUCCACCGUAUCCUGCUGAUGUAAUCUGGCCAGAGACAGAAAGACAGAAAAGGAACAACACUCUUUCUUACUCCCCCUUUGAGCGCUCAUAACCUGAAUUGUCUUCUAUCUGCAUCAAUCUUUAUCACAGCUAUGAUCAAGGACAGCAUUAGUACAAGUUAAAAUACUUUUGAAACUACACUACACUCUUAUACAAGUGGGUAUAAUUCAUAGGAAAACAAGACUGUGGAUGAAUUAUACACCCCUCCAGUGUAAAAGAGGUUUUGCUCUAAAAUUUACACUAAACAGAUUCCUCGGUCUUGUUGCACAAAAUGUUUAUUCAAACCUGUUCUCAUUUAACUAUAAUUGUCGAACUCUACAAAGGGAAGAUGUCACACUCCUUUUUAAUAUAUCAGGUAGUUUGUUAUUUAAAAGUCAUUAUAAACUGUAUGCUGUAUGCAAAAUGUUAAGUAAACACGUUAUGUCCUUGUGUAAA